rnacentral:lncRNA from 1 species
AGAAAUGGAGCCUACCAGAGAAGCAGAGAAAGAGCUGAUCGGGAGAAUACAGCGUGAGGUUCAGAGAAAAUCUGAGGAGCCCACCAACCAGUGAAUUAAUUACACUAGGGUUUCUUAAAGGAGCGCGGAUGAGGGAUUAUCUACAGGAGCCUGAGCACUGUGGCGGUCCCCACAAGAGUCAUGGCUGGCAGGGAAGUGAUCUAAGAGAGAAUCCGGAAAGUUCCUGAUGAGGAAGCAGCGUGGCCUCCUAAACUAAGGACAUACUGAUGCCAUCUGUAGUCUGCUAGCAUCUGGGACACUCCAGACAGGGAAGCCCAAAUGGAUGGUAUGCUCUCAUAAACUAAGGAAUCUCCCUUCCUAGAAGAAGAACAUCCAUCUCUCCUGAUAAGGCCACACAACUUCCAGUGGUAAUUACAACUUUGAGGAUGCAGGAGGACUGCCUUUCAAAGAGAAUCUUCCACUCCAAGAACUCCCUCUGCCCAUAAAACUCCCAACCCCCUCUACUGUGUUUGUAUACUCCCUAUUUCUGAAGGAAGACUGCUACCCCUAAUUAUUCUGAUUAAAGGACAAUUUGUACCUUU